GAAAUCGAGUAGGACGGAGCACGAGAAACUUUGUCUGAACAUGGGGGGACCAUCCUCCAAGGCUAAAUACUACUGACUGACCGAUAGUGAACCAGUACCGUGAGGGAAAGGCGAAAAGAACCCCGGAGAGGGGAGUGAAAUAGAACCUGAAACCGUAUGCGUACUAGCAGUGGGAGCCUACUUGUUAGGUGACUGCGUACCUUUUGUAUAAUGGGUCAGCGACUUAUAUUCAGUGGCAAGCUUAACCGUAUAGGGUAGGCGUAGCGAAAGCGAGUCUUAAUAGGGCGUUUAGUCGCUGGGUAUAGACCCGAAACCGGGCGAUCUAUCCAUGAGCAGGUUGAAGGUUAGGUAACACUGACUGGAGGACCGAACCCACUCCCGUUGAAAAGGUAGGGGAUGACUUGUGGAUCGGAGUGAAAGGCUAAUCAAGCUCGGAGAUAGCUGAUUCUCCUCGAAAGCUAUUUAGGUAGCGCCUCAUGUAUCACUCUGGGGGGUAGAGCACUGUUUCGGCUAGGGGGUCAUCCCGACUUACCAAACCGAUGCAAACUCCGAAUACCCAGAAGUGCCGAGCAUGGGAGACACACGGCGGGUGCUAACGUCCGUCGUGAAAAGGGAAACAACCCAGACCGCCAGCUAAGGUCCCAAAGUUGUGGUUAAGUGGUAAACGAUGUGGGAAGGCUUAGACAGCUAGGAGGUUGGCUUAGAAGCAGCCACCCUUUAAAGAAAGCGUAAUAGCUCACUAGUCGAGUCGGCCUGCGCGGAAGAUGUAACGGGGCUCAAACCACACACCGAAGCUGCGGGUGUCACGUAAGUGACGCGGUAGAGGAGCGUUCUGUAAGCCUGUGAAGGUGAGUUGAGAAGCUUGCUGGAGGUAUCAGAAGUGCGUAUGCUGACAUGAGUAACGACAAUGGGUGUGAAAAACACCCACGCCGAAAGACCAAGGGUUCCUGCGCAACGUUAAUCGACGCAGGGUUAGUCGGUUCCUAAGGCGAGGCUGAAAAGCGUAGUCGAUGGGAAACAGGUUAAUAUUCCUGUACUUCUGGUUACUGCGAUGGAGGGACGGAGAAGGCUAGGCCAGCUUGGCGUUGGUUGUCCAAGUUUAAGGUGGUAGGCUGAAAUCUUAGGUAAAUCCGGGGUUUCAAGGCCGAGAGCUGAUGACGAGUCGUCUUUUAGAUGACGAAGUGGUUGAUGCCAUGCUUCCAAGAAAAGCUUCUAAGCUUCAGGUAACCAGGAACGGUACCCCAAACCGACACAGGUGGUCGGGUAGAGAAUACCAAGGCGCUUGAGAGAACUCGGGUGAAGGAACUAGGCAAAAUGGCACCGUAACUUCGGGAGAAGGUGCGCCGGCUAGGGUGAAGGAUUUACUCCGUAAGCUCUGGCUGGUCGAAGAUACCAGGCCGCUGCGACUGUUUAUUAAAAACACAGCACUCUGCAAACACGAAAGUGGACGUAUAGGGUGUGACGCCUGCCCGGUGCCGGAAGGUUAAUUGAUGGGGUUAGCGCAAGCGAAGCUCUUGAUCGAAGCCCCGGUAAACGGCGGCCGUAACUAUAACGGUCCUAAGGUAGCGAAAUUCCUUGUCGGGUAAGUUCCGACCUGCACGAAUGGCGUAACGAUGGCGGCGCUGUCUCCACCCGAGACUCAGUGAAAUUGAAAUCGCUGUGAAGAUGCAGUGUAUCCGCGGCUAGACGGAAAGACCCCGUGAACCUUUACUGUAGCUUUGCACUGGACUUUGAGCCUGCUUGUGUAGGAUAGGUGGGAGGCUUUGAAGCGUGGACGCCAGUUCGCGUGGAGCCAACCUUGAAAUACCACCCUGGCAUGCUUGAGGUUCUAACUCUGGUCCGUAAUCCGGAUCGAGGACAGUGUAUGGUGGGCAGUUUGACUGGGGC
rnacentral:rRNA from 1 species